rnacentral:rRNA from 1 species
AUUGAACGCUGGCGGCAGGCCUAACACAUGCAAGUCGAACGAGUGGCGGACGGGUGAGUAAUGUCUGGGAAACUGCCUGAUGGAGGGGGAUAACUACUGGAAACGGUAGCUAAUACCGCAUACCAUCGGAUGUGCCCAGAUGGGAUUAGCUAGUAGGUGGGGUAAAGGCUCACCUAGGCGACGAUCCCUAGCUGGUCUGAGAGGAUGACCAGCCACACGGGGACUGAGACACGGUCCAGAAUCCUACGGGAGGCAGCAGUGGGGGAGUGUGCACAAUGGGCGCAACUCUGAUGCUGCCGUGCCGCGUGGCUGAAGAAGGCCUUCGGGUUGUAAAGUCCUUUCUGCGGUGAAGCGUUCCCCGCAGAAGAAGCACCGGCUAACUCCGUGCCAGCAGCCGCGGUAAUUC